rnacentral:tRNA from 1 species
GGGAAUGUGGUUCAGUGGCAGAGUGCUUGUCUUGCAUGCAUGAGGCCGUGGGUUCGAUUCUUCAGUGCCA